AUGGCCAUCAGCGACUAUCCCCCUGAAUACAAUCCUAAAGUACACGGACCGUAUGAUCCAGCGCGUUAUUACGGAAAACCCG